GUGCCAGCCGCCGCGGUAAUACGUAGGGUGCGAGCGUUAAUCGGAAUUACUGGGCGUAAAGCGUGCGCAGGCGGCUUUGCAAGACAGAGGUGAAAUCCCCGGGCUCAACCUGUGAACUGCCUUUGUGACUGCAAGGCUAGAGUACGGCAGAGGGGGAUGGAAUUCCGCGUGUAGCAGUGAAAUGCGUAGUUAUGCGGAGGAACACCGAUGGCGAAGGCAAUCCCCUGGGCCUGUACUGACGCUCAUGCACGAAAGCGUGGGGAGCAAACAGGAUUA
rnacentral:rRNA from 1 species